rnacentral:rRNA from 1 species
UGACGGCCUUCGGGUUKUAACCAGUUUUUGAUCGGGAGCAAGCCUUSGGKUGAGUUUACUUUURGAAUAAGCACCKGGCUAAUUACGUGCCAGCAGCCGCGKUAAUACGUURGGUGCAAGCKUUAUCCGGAAUUAUUKGGCGUAAAGUGCUCGUAGGCGGUUCGUCGCGUCCGGUGUGAAAGUCCAUCGCUUAACGGUGGAUCUGCGCCGGGUACGGGCGGGCUGGAGUGCGGUAGGGGAGACUGGAAUUCCCGGUGUAACGGUGGAAUGUGUAGAUAUCGGGAAGAACACCAAUGGCGAAGGCAGGUCUCUGGGCCGUUACUGACGCUGAGGAGCGAAAGCGUGGGGAGCGAACAGGAUUAGAUACCCUGGUAGUCCACGCCGUAAACGGUGGAUGCUGGACGUGGGGCCCGUUCCACGGGUUCCGUGUCGGASUAACGCGUUAAGCAUCCCGCCUGGGGAGUACGGCCGCAAGGCUAAAACUCAAAGAAAUUGACGGGGGCCCGCACAAGCGGCGGAGCAUGCGGAUUAAUUCGAUGCAACGCGAAGAACCUUACCUGGGCUUGACAUGUUCCCGACAGCCGUAGAGAUAUGGCCUCUUCGGGGCGGGUUCACAGGUGGUGCAUGGUCGUCGUCAGCUCGUGUCGUGAGAUGUUGGGUUAAGUCCCGCAACGAGCGCAACCCUCGCCCUGUGUUGCCAGCACGUCAUGGUGGGAACUCACGGGGGACCGCCGGGGUCAACUCGGAGGAAGGUGGGGAUGACGUCAGAUCAUCAUGCCCCUUACGUCCAGGGCUUCACGCAUGCUACAAUGGCCGGUACAACGGGAUGCGACACGGCGACGUGGAGCGGAUCCCUGAAAACCGGUCUCAGUUCGGAUUGGAGUCUGCAACCCGACUCCAUGAAGGCGGAGUCGCUAGUAAUCGCGGAUCAGCAACGCCGCGGUGAAUGCGUUCCCGGGCCUUGUACACACCGCCCGUCAAGUCAUGAAAGUGGGUAGCACCCGAAGCCGGUGGCCUAACCCUUUGUGGAUGGAGCCGUCUAAGGUGAGACUCGUGAUUGGGACUAAGUCGUAACAAGGUAACCGUAAGCUUCACAAUCCC